UCGUGCUUUGCGGCACGAGUUGUAGAUUGCAGGUUAGGAGUCUGUGUGGAAGGCGGUGUCCAAGUCCCUUGGAACAGGGCGCCCAGGAGGGUGAGAGCCCCGUGGGAUGCCGGCGGAAGCAGUGAGGCCCUUCUGACGAGUCGAGUUGUUUGGGAAUGCAGCUCCAAGCGGGUGGUAAAUUCCAUCUAAGGCUAAAUACUGGCGAGAGACCGAUAGCGAACAAGUACUGUGAAGGAAAGAUGAAAAGCACUUUGAAAAGAGAGUGAAACAGCACGUGAAAUUGUUGAAAGGGAAGGGUAUUGCGCCCGACAUGGGGAUUGCGCACCGCUGCCUCUCGUGGGCGGCGCUCUGGGCUUUCCCUGGGCCAGCAUCGGUUCUUGCUGCAGGAGAAGGGGUUCUGGAACGUGGCUCUUCGGAGUGUUAUAGCCAGGGCCAGAUGCUGCGUGCGGGGACCGAGGACUGCGGCCGUGUAGGUCACGGAUGCUGGCAGAACGGCGCAACACCGCCCGUCUUGAAACACGGACCA
rnacentral:rRNA from 1 species